rnacentral:misc_RNA from 1 species
AAGUCGUAACAAGGUCUCCGUAGGUGAACCUGCGGAGGGAUCAUCUAGGAUUUGAUUUGGGGUUGGGCCUGCUGGAGACAGCAGCGCCUGGCUGACGAAGCCCGCUGGGGUGAUGGGAGAAGGAGCGGGUUGGUUGAGGGUGCGAGGUUGAGGGGGUGUGGGGUGAGUGCAGCAGCAUGAGAGUGCAGCAGCGCCGAACCACCUCCCGCCCGCACCCAGCCACAAUAAGUUGAGGUUUGGCCGAGCACUCGGCACACAGUUUCAGCAACACACUAUCAAACAACACACACAACUGCCACCAAUGGAUCUCUAGGCUCCCGC